rnacentral:rRNA from 1 species
UACAGAGGGGGCAAGCGUUGUUCGGAAUUACUGGGCGUAAAGGGCGCGUAGGCGGCCUUCUAAGUCAGACGUGAAAUCCCCCGGCUUAACCUGGGAACUGCGUCUGAUACUGGAGGGCUUGAGUGCGGGAGAGGGAUGUGGAAUUCCAGGUGUAGCGGUGAAAUGCGUAGAUAUCUGGAGGAACACCGGUGGCGAAGGCGGAUCUCUGGGCCAUUACUGACGCUGAGGAGCGAAAGCGUGGGGAGCGAACAGG